rnacentral:rRNA from 1 species
GACGAACGCUGGCGGCGUGCUUAACACAUGCAAGUCGAGCGGAAAGGCCCUUCGGGGUACUCGAGCGGCGAACGGGUGAGUAACACGUGAGUAACCUGCCCUAGGCUUUGGGAUAACCCCGGGAAACCGGGGCUAAUACCGGAUAUGACCUGGUGCCGCAUGGUGUUGGGUGGAAAGUUUUUUCGGCCUGGGAUGGGCUCGCGGCCUAUCAGCUUGUUGGUGGGGUGAUGGCCUACCAAGGCGAUGACGGGUAGCCGGCCUGAGAGGGCGACCGGCCACACUGGGACUGAGACACGGCCAAGACUCCUACGGGAGGCAGCAGUGGGGAAUAUUGCACAAUGGGCGGAAGCCUGAUGCAGCGACGCCGUGUGAGGGAUGAAGGCCUUCGGGUUGUAAACCUCUUUCAGCAGGGACGAAGCGUGAGUGACGGUACCUGCAGAAGAAGCGCCGGCCAACUACGUG